AGUGAGCGCUGGCGGUAGGCCUAACACAUGCAAGUCGAACGGCAGCACAGUAAGAGCUUGCUCUUACGGGUGGCGAGUGGCGGACGGGUGAGGAAUACAUCGGAAUCUACUUUUUCGUGGGGGAUAACGUAGGGAAACUUACGCUAAUACCGCAUACGACCUACGGGUGAAAGCAUGGGAUCUUCGGACCUUGCGCGAUUGAAUGAGCCGAUGUCGGCUUAGCUAGUUGGCGAGGUAAAGGCCCACCGAGGCAACGAUCGGUAGCUGGUCUGAGAGAAUGAUAAGCCACACUGGAACUGAGACACGGUCCAGACUCCUACGGGAGGCAGCAGUGGGGAAUAUUGGACAAUGGGCGGAAGCCUGAGCCAGCAAUACCGCGUCGGUGAAGAAGGCCUUCGGGUUGUAAAGCCCUUUUGUUGGGAAAGAAAAGCAGCAGGUUAAUACCCCGCUGUUCUGACGGUACCCAAAGAAUAAGCACCGGCUAACUUCGUG
rnacentral:rRNA from 1 species